AAACCCAUCACCUGGACUCUAUGAAGUGCAUAAGGAUUCCAUAGCUGUGUAUUUGUCAUCCAUCUCCAGGCUUUCUAGUUGCAGGAUGGCGAAGUACUGCAGGAUAAACUGUGUGAUGAAAAAAGCAGAAACAAAAUCUUGUACUGUUCCUUUUGGAUUCCUAUGUGAAUUAAAGAGGUAUAAUGAGGUGAUGAGCUGAGGAAUAAAAAGGAAGAGAAUGGGC
rnacentral:lncRNA from 1 species